rnacentral:rRNA from 1 species
AUGCAAGUCGACGGUAACAGGCCCUUCGGGGUGCUGACGAGUGGCGGACGGGUGAGUAACGCGUAGGAAUUUGCCCAGUAGUGGGGGACAACUUGGGGAAACCCAAGCUAAUACCGCAUACGCCCUACGGGGGAAAGCGGGGGAUCUUCGGACCUCGUGCUAUUGGAUGAGCCUGCGUCGGAUUAGCUAGUUGGUAGGGUAAAGGCCUACCAAGGCGACGAUCCGUAGCUGGUUUGAGAGAACGAUCAGCCACACUGGGACUGAGACACGGCCCAGACUCCUACGGGAGGCAGCAGUGGGGAAUAUUGCACAAUGGGCGCAAGCCUGAUGCAGCAAUGCCGCGUGUGUGAAGAAGGCCUGCGGGUUGUAAAGCACUUUCAAUUGGGAAGAAAAGGUUAGGGUUAAUACCCCUGAUUCUUGACGUUACCUUUAGAAGAAGCACCGGCUAACUCCGUGCCAGCAGCCGCGGUAAUACG